rnacentral:rRNA from 1 species
ACACAUGCAGUCGAGCGGGAUUAGCAGCAAUGGCUAUGAGAGCGGCGCACGGGUGCGUAACGCGUAUGCAACCUGCCUUAUACAGGGGGAUAGCCCAUGGAAACGUGGAUUAAUGUCCCAUAGGACUUUAGGAUCGCAUGGUUUUGAAGUUAAAGCUGAGGUGGUAUAAGAUGGGCAUGCGUCUGAUUAGGUAGUUGGUAGGGUAACGGCCUACCAAGCCGACGAUCAGUAGGGGUUCUGAGAGGAUUACCCCCCACACUGGUACUGAGACACGGACCAGACUCCUACGGGAGGCAGCAGUGAGGAAUAUUGGUCAAUGGGCGAGAGCCUGAACCAGCCAUCCCGCGUGCAGGAUGACGGCCCUAUGGGUUGUAAACUGCUUUUCUGCCCCAAGAAACCUGAUUACGUGUAAUCAGUUGACGGUAGGGUAGGAAUAAGCAUCGGCUAACUCCGUGCCAGCAGCCGCGGUAAUACGGAGGAUGCAAGCGUUAUCCGGAUUCAUUGGGUUUAAAGGGUGCGCAGGUUGGGAUGUAAGUCAGUGGUGAAAUACUGCCGCUUAACGGUAGAGCUGCCAUUGAUACUGCGUUUCUUGAGUAUGGUUGAGGUAGGUGGAAUGUGUUGUGUAGCGGUGAAAUGCAUAGAUAUGACACAGAACGCCGAUUGCGAAGGCAACUUACUAAGCCAUUACUGACGCUGAGGCACGAAAGCGUGGGUAGCGAACAGGAUUAGAUACCCCUGGUAGUCCACGCUGUAAACGAUGUUCACUCGCUGUUUGCGAUACACAGUAAGCGGCUGAGCGAAAGCAUUAAGUGACACCCUGGGGGGAGUACGAUC